rnacentral:rRNA from 1 species
UACGGGGGGGGCAAGCGUUGUUCGGAAUUACUGGGCGUAAAGGGCUCGUAGGCGGCCAACUAAGUCAGACGUGAAAUCCCCAGGCUUAACCUGGGAACUGCGUCUGAUACUGGAUGGCUUGAAUUCGGGAGAGGGAUGCAGAAUUCCAGGUGUAGCGGUGAAAUGCGUAGAUAUCGAGAGGAACACCUGCGGCGAAGGCGGGUUGCUGGGCUGACACUGACGCUGAGGCGCGAAAGCCAGGGGAGCGAACGGG